rnacentral:rRNA from 1 species
CAUUUAGAGGAAGUAAAAGUCGUAACAAGGUCUCCGUUGGUGAACCAGCGGAGGGAUCAUUACCGAGUUUACAACUCCCAAACCCCUGUGAACAUACCAAUUGUUGCCUCGGCGGAUCAGCCCGCUCCCGGUAAAACGGGACGGCCCGCCAGAGGACCCCUAAACUCUGUUUCUAUAUGUAACUUCUGAGUAAAACCAUAAAUAAAUCAAAACUUUCAACAACGGAUCUCUUGGUUCUGGCAUCGAUGAAGAACGCAGCAAAAUGCGAUAAGUAAUGUGAAUUGCAGAAUUCAGUGAAUCAUCGAAUCUUUGAACGCACAUUGCGCCCGCCAGUAUUCUGGCGGGCAUGCCUGUUCGAGCGUCAUUUCAACCCUCAAGCCCUCGGGUUUGGUGUUGGGGAUCGGCGAGCCCUUGCGGCAAGCCGGCCCCGAAAUCUAGUGGCGGUCUCGCUGCAGCUUCCAUUGCGUAGUAGUAAAACCCUCGCAACUGGUACGCGGCGCGGCCAAGCCGUUAAACCCCCAACUUCUGAAUGUUGACCUCGGAUCAGGUAGGAAUACCCGCUGAACUUAA